UAGAUGGAUGCCUGCUGGUUUAGGCGCCUAGCUGUUAACUAGGACUUUGAGGGAUCGAGGCCCUCCUAUCUAU
rnacentral:tRNA from 1 species